rnacentral:rRNA from 1 species
CCUACGGGUGGCAGCAGUGAGGAAUAUUGGUCAAUGGGCGCGAGCCUGAACCAGCCAAGUCGCGUGAGGGAAGACGGUCCUAUGGAUUGUAAACCUCUUUUGUCGGGGAGCAAAAGACGCCACGCGUGGCGUUCCGAGAGUACCCGACGAAAAAGCAUCGGCUAACUCCGUGCCAGCAGCCGCGGGAAUACGGGGGAUGCGAGCGUUAUCCGGAUUUAUUGGGUUUAAAGGGUGCGCAGGCGGAAGAUCAAGUCAGCGGUAAAAUUGAGAGGCUCAACCUCUUCGAGCCGUUGAAACUGGUGUUCUUGAGUGAGCGAGAAGUAUGCGGAAUGCGUGGUGUAGCGGUGAAAUGCAUAGAUAUCACGCAGAACUCCGAUUGCGAAGGCAGCAUACCGGCGCUCAACUGACGCUCAUGCACGAAAGUGUGGGUAUCGAACAGGAUUAGAUACCCGGGUAGUC